CAAAGAUUGUCAAAUUUUGGGACAAAACAUUUUCUACAGAGGCUCGUUUAAUACCAAACUGCAUUGUGGCACUCCUGCCCCUCUCACCCCACUGAACCAUAAUGGUGCUGCAACCAUUCCUUGCUCUGUCUCACUCUACCAACCUCCACCUGCUGGGAUGCUGAAGGAUCUCCCCUAACUCUGCAGUGUUUUUCAGGGCUGUAAUGAGGUCCUGUAAUCCAGUGUGUACACGAGAUGAACAUAUGUAUAUAUUUGUCACAGUCAGGCAUUCAGCCUUUUCAGUUUCAAUAGCAGUGGCUCCUCUUCUGUGCUUUCAGACUUGUGUUACAGAUGAUGCACUCGCUUGUGGAAGCAGCAUCAUCCAUAUAUCUCCACUGCCUUCAGUUAAAGAAUGAAUGAAAGAGUAAAAGUUCGGGUUCCAUGUCAACCACCUGAAAAAAGUCCUCUCUGUGCAUCCCUGCUGGGUGUCUUCUCUACCCAGGAAAAAGAAGUUGUGCAGGGAGGACUUUAUAGGAAGGUGGAUGUGCAUGUCCAGGAAUCACCUUGUUUUUCUCUGCUAGUUCUUGUCAUAUUUAAGUUAAAUUAGCAGUUACGCUUACUGAGAUUUACUUGCUAAAAAGGAAUGAAAACAGUUUUAAGAGCGCUGGGAGACCUGUGUGGGAGGCACGGAUUUGGUAGAUUGAGCAAGGAGAUCACAGUCUGGAAAAGGAUUCUGGUAAAGCAGCAGCAGGAGGAGGUAAUGUUAUCAUAAAUUCCCAAAUGAUGUUGGCCUCAGAAUUGUGUUUUAUUUCCCUAGCUGAUGCUGGUGACAGAUUUUGAUGGUCAUCUGUCUUGAGCUGUGGCUAACCAAAGCCUGGUGUGAGUAGGAGAAAGACUGCAGAGUUCAGGAAGACUUUUCAAUGUGAGAGGCUGCAGCUGCACAGCUGCUGUUCAGGAGAGAAUAUAUGUGCUUUGAGCAGCCUCAUUAAAGUCACUGGGAGUGCUUACAACCUUAGCUGUUCAUCUGAAUCAACGCUUUUAGUGGUGACAGUGGAAAUACAGCUUUGAGCUAUAGAUCUGUUUUAUUUUUCAAACUCCUAUGCAAAAGAUCAUCUGUCCCCUUACUAAUUUUAUCCUUUGUGUUAGGUCACCCUACUGCCCCCUGUGUUGUGAUGACACAGGCAGAGGAAGUCUUUCUUUCACCUCUGUGUCUGGAGUCCUGGCAUCACCUUUGCUGACCUAUGCUUCAGCAUCCCCAGGGUAACAGGAUACAACGAAAGAAGAAGAUACCAAGAGAGAUGUUGGAAAACUGGGCCCUGAUGACCUUUCUCAGAACUUGAACCAAACAGUGCUUUCAGUAGAACAGCGUCUUCCUCUUUCGUGCCCACGAUGAAGUCAAAGCACCCCACAGAAGGCCUGUAAUGCUUAUAAGUGAGUUUUGCCUGGAUGGAAGCAAGCCACCAGAGCUUAUUUCUCACAGAAGUCCUACGGUGCUGAAUGAAAGCUGUGACUGUUUUUGCUGUCUCCCCCACCUACUGAUUACCUGGUACUGAAAAGAUGAGAAAACAGAACGUUGAACUCACCACAAGGAAAUUCGGAAAUUGUUGCAAUUUGAACGUUGUCCAGCAGAUGCUGCUGUCGGACAAAGAAAACCAAACGG